rnacentral:rRNA from 1 species
CCCAGACUCCUACGGGAGGCAGCAGUGGGGAAUAUUGCACAAUGGGGGAAACCCUGAUGCAGCGACGCCGCGUGAGUGAAGAAGUAUUUCGGUAUGUAAAGCUCUAUCAGCAGGGAAGAAAAAAGACGGUACCUGACUAAGAAGCCCCGGCUAACUACGUGCCAGCAGCCGCGGUAAUACGUAGGGGGCAAGCGUUAUCCGGAUUUACUGGGUGUAAAGGGAGCGUAGACGGCGCGGCAAGUCUGAAGUGAAAGGCAGGGGCUUAACCCCUGAACUGCUUUGGAAACUGCCAUGCUAGAGUGCUGGAGAGGUAAGUGGAAUUCCUAGUGUAGCGGUGAAAUGCGUAGAUAUUAGGAGGAACACCGGCGGCGAAGGCGGCCUGCUGGACCGUAACUGACGUUGAGGCUCGAAAGCGUGGGGAGCAAACAGGAUUAGAUACCCCAGUAAU